CCCCCCCAAAACGAAAGUGUGAUGGGGUUACCCAAAGUGUUCUAUUAAGAACUGUGGUAGGUGAGUAAUGUUCCCUUCUAGAAAGGAGAGGGCAAGGCUGGUGCCAGCCGCCGCGGUAAAACCAGCUCUUCAAGUGGUCGGGAUAAUUAUUGGGCUUAAAGUGUCCGUAGCCGGUUUAGUAAGUUCCUGGUAAAAUCGGGUAGCUUAACUAUCUGCAUGCUAGGAAUACUGCUAUACUAGAGGGCGGGAGAGGUCUGAGGUACUACAGGGGUAGGGGUGAAAUCUUAUAAUCCUUGUAGGACCACCAGUGGCGAAGGCGUCAGACUGGAACGCGCCUGACGGUGAGGGACGAAAGCCAGGGGAGCGAACCGGAUUAGAUACCCGGGUAGUCCUGGCCGUAAACGAUGCAUACUAGGUGAUGGCACGGCCAUGAGCCAUGUCAGUGCCGUAGGGAAACCGUUAAGUGUGCCGCCUGGGAAGUACGGUCGCAAGGCUAAAACUUAAAGGAAUUGGCGGGGGA
rnacentral:rRNA from 1 species